CAGCCAUAUAACAUUGAAAUACCAGUCCUCAUCUGAUCACUGAAGUUAAGCAAAGUUGAACCUGGUCAGUACCUAGAUGGAUGACUGCUUGGGAAUACCAGGUGCUGUAAG